GACAACGCUGGCGGCGUGCUUAACACAUGCAAGUCGAACGAGGUGUUUUGGGGGCGAACCCUCGGGAACAUCGAGUGGCGAACGGGUGAGUAACACGUGGGUAACCUACCCUAAAGACCGGGAUAACCCGUCGAAAGAUGGGCUAAUACCGGAUGUGGUCCCGGAGUGAAAUUCUCCGUGAUCAAAGGAUGGCAUAGGCUUGCAAGCUAUCGCUUUAGGAUGGGCCCGCGGCUGAUUAGCUAGUUGGUAGGGUAACGGCCUACCAAGGCGACUAUCAGUAGCCGGCCUGAGAGGGCGUACGGCCACACUGGAACUGAGACACGGUCCAGACUCCUACGGGAGGCAGCAGUGGGGAAUCUUCCACAAUGGGCGAAACCCUGACGCAGCAACGCCGCGUGAGUGAGGAAGGCCUUCGGGUCGUAAAGCUUUGUCAGAUGGGAAGAAAUGGGUGGGGGCUAAUAUCGCCCAUCCUUGACGGUACCAUCAGAGGAAGCACCGGCUAACUCCGUG
rnacentral:rRNA from 1 species